UUGAAAUCCGGAGUUUAUUUUUCCUUCAGUGUCUCUCCUAAGAACCAACAGGAAUUGAGAUAUUUUUUUUUCUCUCUUGUGUUUGUGCCUACUUAUUAAACACACAUGUGGCCUGGAUUCCUUGCGUAGGUGCAAAGAGGUUUGAAAAAAAGAAAAAGAAAAAAAGGUGUAACCCAGUCCAUUGACCUGUCUCUUUGCCCUUAGGACUCUUUCGAACAGCUGUGAGAAAAAGAAAAAGGGGGGGAGAGAGAAAAAAGGAGGCAGUUUAACAAGCCAAAUCCAGAUGUUCAUUUCAUACACACACCCUGAACAGCUUUUGCAUGGUUUAUUUCGUUUUCUGAAACCAUUUUUCACCAGCCUGUUUUCUCAGCUGGGAAACUUCUGGUGUAGUGUUUUCAAAAAAAUAUUGCAUUUGGCAUUACAAGAAAACAGAGCCUUUAAGACAUUAAAAGGACAAUAUCCUUGUUUGACUUGGCCCAGGGAAGCAGGGCUAUAGGAAUUUUAGAUUUUUGUACCACCCAAAGAAUAGGUAAAAGAAAUUUUCCACUCUUAAACCCAGUUUACAUGGGAAUUAGAGAGUUGAUUUAGCUUUUUUUUUUCUUUUUCUUUUAAAGACUACUCUGAGGACUUUGUGUUGGUGUAAUAGGAUUUUAUUAGCAUGAAGGUAUAAGCAAAGUGAUAGCAAUCAGUUUGCAUCUAGAUUCUGAUGAACCAUGGUUCAAAACUCAAACUGAUGCUGAAUGAACUUUAUUUUUGUUUUGCAAGGACCAGAUCCUGACAUGCUCAUUUACACCAACAUCUACAUAACGUGGACGGACAAAUCUGAAAUUAUUUAAUACUGGUGCAGUUUCUCUUUACUUACAGGAGAGGUAAGCUACAUAACAUGAGCCAUAAUUCAUAUUGGCUGUGUGAAUAGCACUGAUGGCAAUGAAGAUGUGAUUAGCAGACAGGACAGUGUCUACACUGAGUUUAGAGGUACCCCAACGGCUGGCAGGUAAUGCAUGAAAUUAUGGAAGACCAAGUGCAAGCAAGACCUAUAUUGCUAUCACUGAGCUAAUCAAAGGAUAUAUUGCCCUUCAGAAAAUGCACUGUAAAACCCCAACUCCACUGAAGCCAGUGGGUGAUUUGCAGUUUGCUGUCCUUCACAACUUUGGUAAAAAAAAAGUAGGUUUUUUUUACCUGUAAGAUUCUACAAGUGUCAUUCACUAUUACUUAUUGUAUUAGAUGGAGACUUGAUCCAAAUUUCUCCAUGUAAAGAAAGGUCUAUAACUUUGCAAAAAGUUUAAGCAAUGCUUUGGUGCUCCUUUUGUUCACCUGUUCUAAAGUAGAAAAAAUUGCAGAUAUUCUUAUCAGAAAUGUCACCAUCCUGUAGAGAUCUCAGACCCCAUCAACUAUAAAAUAAAAGCAGAUGAUAAGGAUUUUUAGUGAGAAUUUGAAGACAUAUAUUGUGGUUAAAUUAAAUAGAUGACAAAAAAAGAGUAUUAAAAGAUCCUAAUUCAUAAACCAGCAACAUUACUUAAACAAGUAAAUAGAAAUGUUUAAGGUAUGUCCCACGCCACGUUUUCCUUUCACUUUGCUGCUGCUAAAAUAAGGGCAAAUCAUCAAGUCUCUCUUGGCAUUACAGAGCAUUCAAGGAUAUGGUGUGUGUGUGCCUGUUUGUGCGUACGUGUACGUGUGUAUAUCUUUAAGCCUGGUAGUGGGAAUAUUGGCAUUUCAGUGUCAGAACACCACCAAGUGGGCUAUAAAUACAUGGUCCUUGAACUAAUCUUCUCUUUAGACAGAACAAAAAAAAAUGUAAGAAAAAUCUAAUUAAGACUUAAAAUGCAUUAGGCAGAUUAUUUGGCCAGUACAGAACUAGAGUGGAAAGCCGCCAAGCAGUACUAGUAAGUUCUGUUGAGCAAACCAGUGGUCUUUUUAAAGCCACUGACUUGGUACACAGAUUGAAUGAUUCUAGAGAAAGAAUAUAUUGUCUGUCCAUUUCAAGAUACUGUGAAUUUGUAAUGUAAAAUAGUGCCCUGAUGUGUUUUUUCGUCUCCUCUUUAACUGUUAGUAUGCAUUACACAUAUGUGUGUGUACAUGUUUGUAUUUAUUUGCAUGCAUACUUCCAUGUACAUUGUUAUACACAUUUAUACAAAAACAUAUAUUAACUGCUUGAUUAAAAAGAACAGUCUGUUUGUGCAGAUACCAAACCUAGAGACCAGGCAGCUUCACAUCUGACUUCGGGUAAUAAGACCUCCUAAUAUCUAAGCUUGGAGAUAGAUAAAUCCAGGAACUUCUACACAGAUACUGUCAAGACCCUGUAUUUGGAAAUAUUCUGUCAGUCAAUGCACAAACAAUGCACUUAGAUAUUUGCCUUGGGAAAUGUAAUUUUAGAGAUAUCAGACUAUCAGUGUGUACAAAUACCACUAUAUACAUGUCUGCUGGAAGGACAGUCUUUAAGGCACCAUGGAACUGCACAGCACACAGCAGCCUUGGCCUGUGGACGGGGCAGUUAUGUGCUGCUGUAAGACAAAGUCAGUGAAGAUGAUUCAGGAGCCGAGAAGAAAAUGAGGAGGUAAUGGCGUUGUAUGGGGGAACUUGGAAUAAUGCUGCCUUGUACUGUCAGCCUGGACCCUUCCAGUCAUGUAAAGUGAAAAGAGUAAGUCUGGUGAAGUGUGAGAGCUCUUAUCUUGUUCUGUCUUUCAGCAAAGCAAUGACCCGUGCCACAUGGCCUCCCAAAAACGCCUUCUUUGUUUAGCCAAGAAUUACACCCUUUAAACAUUCCCAAUCACUGCAUUGAAAUGGUUGCAUUUAUUAUAGCAGCCUGCCAUAAAAUUUGGUUCAAUAGUCUGUUCUGAGAGGGGUUAAUACGUGCUCUGGGAACACCAUUAUCAAUGGUGAGGAAUCCCAGCAGCAGUCUCUGUGAUCUCAUUUGGUGCCACGCAACACAGGGGAAGCUCAGUGUUGCCCACUGCACUCCAUGCUCCGUCUCCCGUGGGUCUCCCUACAACUUCAACUGAGGUUUGCCUAAUACUUUGCAAAGUAUGGGGAAGUAUUUCCCAUCAAAAAGAUCGAGGUCAAGGGGAAAUCAUGAUAUUCCUCUUUGUCACGCCCUGGUAAAUUCGUCUUGAUACUGCUAAUUGUCACUGUAGGAAAGCUGUGUGUCCUCCUUAGUUGUUCUCUCUACAGACUCUCUACCAUUAUGACUCUGCCAGUGAGAACAGAUACAUCAUGUUUUAAGGGAAUUUCUUUUGUCAAUAUUGUUGCACUGUUUUCUGGAGACGUGUGAACUAAGCUAACACAGCUGCUUUUUGUCAACAGAGUGCAUCCAUGCCCCUGGCUUAGUAACAGCGAGGAAAGGAGUGAAAUUUAUUCACUUCCUGAGAUGAGAGAGCAUGGGAUAGUGCAGAACUGGUCGUGGUCUCCCAUAAAUGGUGCCGUGUGUUUGUGUAGCUCCUAGCACAACUCUGCCUUCUUCCACAAUGGGAGAGCCAUGACCUGUUUGUCAUAGAUGGUGGUGAUGAUGAUGCUCACAGAGAAUCAAAAACCCUGCCAUGAAGGCACAAACGGCAGGUGGUACAGACUGCAUUUUCAAAAACGCUUUAUUCUGCCUUCUGGUUUGUAGGAGUAAAAGAAAAAGUUUUCAUUUAGAGGAGGACAUUAGGGUUGAGGUAGGAGACAGAGAUUUCUGAAAGUGAUUAUCUGUAUCACUACAAAAAAUAUUUGUUAUUCUCAGAGUCAUGGACUAGUUAAGAUUGGAACUGGCAUUUGUAGAUUUGUAGUUGGCCCCUGCUUAAAAGAGGGCCAACUUCAAAGGUAGCUAAGGUUUCUCAGGGCCAUGUUCUGUCAAGUUUUAAAAAUCUGCAAGGUUAGGUGUUUCACCACCUUUCUGUGCAACCUGUUCCAGAACUUAACUGUCCUUUUGAUUUAUUUUUUAAUGAAGUUGGAAUUUGUCUUGCUGCAACUUGUGAUCAUUGCCUCUCAUCCUUUCACUGUGCAUAUCUGAGAAAAGUUAGACUCUGUCUUCUUUGUAGCCAUCUAUCAGUUAGUAGAAGGCACCAGUUAGUUCACCUUCUCUAACCUUUCUCUUCUCCAGACUGAACAAAUUCACCUCCCUUAGCCCUUCCUCAUGUGUUCAGCUAUCUUGAUAGUCCACUGCUGGACUCAGUCUGAUUUGUUGAUAUCCUUCUUGCACUGUGAAGGAGAGAAAAUGGUCCAAAAGUGGAACUGGGUUUUAGUUAUAGUUAAUAUUUGUAUUAACUCUCUACUCUGUUGACAUUGGAUGCUCAAGCUUUGGCCAUAACUAAUAUAAUGGCUCUCAUUCAAAUGUUGGAAACAUCAGGGCAUACCUGCUCGGCCUUCUUGGAAGAGCGUGUUUCCUGAACACACUGUACCCAGGUCAUCCCAUCUCAUUUAUUUGUCUGUCUGUGAUAGCAAUAUAGUUAAUUGCCUCUUUUCCCAUUGCUGAAUUGACUGGAUUGUCCUGGAGAUGCUGAAUUUGUUUUCUUCUUUGACAAAGUGCAUACACUCCUAUGGAUUUUUACAAAGGAACCAGAAAUAUCUAGGAAAAUGCAGAAGGAGUGAAAAGCCCUCAAUUUCUUUUUCUAUGAAUAAUUUAGUGCCAAGUUAACUGAAACGUUUGAAAAAGAGAUUUUUGGUGCCUAGCUUCAUUAAACCCUCUAUCUAUCCCCAAAUGUAUUCUCUAUCAGUGUCAGCAUCUAACACUUCAUCUUGUCCCGAUCACAACAAAGGCCUUGUAGAAAUAAAAUGCAGGGGUAGAGUAAAAACAGAUUAUUGUUGCCAUUAUGCAUGUCUCUGUGUGCACAUGUGCUCUAUAAACUUACAGUGAGGGGAAAAAAAAGAAUCUAUAUGAAAAGGAAUGAAGCCCUGAACCAUACCAACCUUCCAAAACGUGCACUCCUCUUGGGGGUACAAGCCACGCUCCAUUGCAUUAAAGAGUGUUGCGCCACACUCCAACCCCCUUCUCCGGAGCACGUGUUUUAAUCGGAGUAUUAUGUUCUCAUCCACUAAGCUUUUACCAGCACAAUGAGUGGGACCUCCUUCACUUGGCAGUGGUUUCUGUCAGCGAUCUGUCUUCUGCAGCUAUUUCCGUGGGAAGGCCCUCCAUCUGGUGCUUGGCAGGGAGGGGAACUUUCCUCUCAAAUGUUCUCUCUCUCUCUCCUCCCCGCCCCCCCCCGGUUAAGGUAUACCCUUUGGAAAUCUUCAACUUCCAAGAUUUAUUUUUGCACAGGGUACAUACUUUGUUUUACGUGGUCUGGCUUUCUUUUCUUUUAACAAACCACCACCCCUGUGCCCUGCUUAUCCUGGCAGAGGGAGAAGAAUGCUGUUUGCUUUAAUAUUACCUUCGGUCUCAGUAUGCAACAGGUCAAAAGAUGUGACAAGUACACAUGCUAAUCCCUUUCCUUUUCAGUUAAUAGAAUAACACAGAUGGGAAAGUUUACACUGGGAUUUGACACUUGCUCCAAGCUGAAGUUAAGAAGGAGAUGGGGUUGGACAUUGCCUUUCAGGUCAGAGUGGUUACUACACAAAUUCAUCUUCCCACUCAGCAUCAAGUUGCUGCUGUCAUCCUAAACCCCAUUUGCUCUGCUAAGAAUGUUCCACUUCCCCUUCCACUCUCCUUUUGAGAGUCAUAGCCUCCAGAAUAUGUCCUCUGACAUUCUGCAUGACAUAGCCCGUUUAGACUGUGUGACUGAUCAAACCAAAUUUAUAACAAAACAUUCAAAAUAUAAGUUAUUUUUGGACAAGAGAAUAAAGUUUUCCUCUGCCACAAUGCCUACCAAAGGAGCUGGCAAUGCCAGGGAACAUGAUGUGCUGAGACUAUUGCUUAUCAUAGUUGUCACAUAGAUCUCUUUUAUUUCAUGUUUGUUUGUCUCUGUCUCUCUCUUGUCCUACAUUUAGAUAUUAGGCUCCUUGGGCAAAGCAUGAUUUGCCAUUCAUUGUUACAACAGUCAUUAUUCCAAAGGAGCUCAUGAUUUGGGACCGAAUGAUGAUGAUGAUAGUUAUUGAAUGUAAGUCACAAAAGAAAGCUCCACAGCUGAGCUUGAAUUUAAAAAUGCAACAUUAUAAAAGGUUUAAGAGAAAGCACAAAUUUUGCAGAGUCAUGUUUAGUUCCUCUUUCAGUCUCUGAUGUAUGAUAGCCUGAUGUAUUCCAUGGAAGACGUGACCACACGCAUCUAGCAGAGUUUCUUCCUGGUGAUACCUCUGUGAGUACUUAGCCAUCCCUGGAGAUAGCAGAGAACACUGGGUCGCAUGUUUACAUUUCAUGUGACUUUUCUAUGAAUCAUAUCUCAUUUUGUCACCAAAGCAUCCCAUCUGAUCACUUGCCUUCUGAGAAUUCGGUUGACUCAUCACUCCUAGGUUUCUUUUUCCUUGGCACGCUUCUCUUUCCCUUCACCUGAUGCCAGCCCUGCCUUAUUCCUUGGCACCAUUGUGAUACAUAUGUGCAUUUCAAUGCCAUUUGCAGAGCCUAAAUGUGCCAUUUGAACACAGUCCUACACGAAGGGGAGAAAGAGGUAAUAGGUUAGAGUGGCACCAUUCCUGGAAGACCAGCAGGAGAUGGAAAAUGUCCAUGAAUUCAAGGCUGUUUUCAAGCAGCCUAAAUUCUACCUAUGUUCUUGUGCCUAAAGUUAUCCACAAGAUAUUCUGGACCUUCAGGGUUGCCAAACCAAUAGGGAACCAAAGCUGAACUAGGAGAAUUAGAUGGAAUACAGCUGUUGGAGGCCACAUGAGUCUGUCCUUUGCAGUCAUGGAGCUUACUGGCAAAGCUAUGUGAAUAAUGGACUAUUUUUGUCUUCUGACAAUUCUGAAAACAUGCAGCAAAAAUAUUUGUAAAGAACUUUUGAGUGUAUUCAAAACAAUCUGUCUUUAAAAAGUGUGUGAACUGAAAAGCUGUCAGCCUUCCUUCUUGGGUCGAAUGACAAGUUUCAUUUCAUUUUUGUUCAUUUCAUUGUUUUUGUUAAUUUAAUUUUCUUUUAGCU